rnacentral:lncRNA from 1 species
GGCUCUCGGCGCCGUCGCGCCUUCGCUCGCCCGCUUAGGCCGUGCUCGCGGUGGCGUGGGAGACAGAGAGCCCAGGGAGGACCCUGGAACAUGCAGUGGUAUGGAAGACGCCUAAGAAAGGGCUUCUCUUUCCACUCACGAAAAUCAGUGUGUGAGCUCGAAGCCAUUUCCCAGCGUGUCCGCCUCAACUCCCUCAUUCAACAGAUGAGGAAUUCCUCCAGGGAAAUGCAGUGAUGCGCUCACGGCUGCCGGCGGCCCAGCGCCAAGGGGCGCUCCACAGCCCCGCGGCCCGAAGCCCUCGACUCGGCUGCCACGCAGGCCCCGCGGCCCCGCUCGGACUCCCAGGAUCGGCUUCCGAGCGGGACAGCGCUGCAGUCCACGAGUCCGGGCAGGGGCGCCUCCAGGCCGGAGCGGUUUCCUGCCUCGGGCACUCUGCUGUCUCCACAAACGGUUUUUGGAGGCACACACACGGAUACUUUAAACACGUCGGUGAUGAAUCGGUACCCAGCUGCCAGUGGCGGAGCUUCCUGGGCGGGGCCGCGGGCGCGCGGCGGCUUCAUUUC